rnacentral:rRNA from 1 species
AGAACCUGAAACCCUGCACUUACAAGCUGUGGGAGCACAUUACUUGUGUGACCGCGUACUUUUUGUAGAACGGGCCAACGAGUUACGUUAAGUAGCAAGGUUAAGCACUUAAGGUGUGGAGCCGUAGCGAAAGCGAGUCUUAAAUGGGCGAUUAAGUUACUUGGCGUAGACCCGAAACCGGGCGACCUAUCCAUGAGCAGGUUGAAGCGAAAGUAAAAUUUCGUGGAGGACCGAACCCACGAGCGUUGAAAAGCUCGGGGAUGACUUGUGGAUAGCGGUGAAAUUCCAAUCGAGCCCGGAGAUAGCUGGUUCUCCCCGAAAUAGCUUUAGGGCUAGCCUCAAGCGUAGAGAAACGGAGGUAGAGCACUGAAUGUCCUAGGGGGUAUUGCACUUACCGAAGACUAUCAAACUCCGAAUGCCGUAUUCUUUUGCUUGGGAGUCAGACUAUGGGUGAUAAGAUUCAUAGUCAAAAGGGCAACAGCCCAGAUCGUCAGCUAAGGUCCCUAAAUGUACGUUAAGUGGUAAAGGAUGUGGGAUUGCACAGACAACCAGGAUGUUGGCUUAGAAGCAGCCACUCAUUUAAAGAGUGCGUAAUAGCUCACUGGUCGAGUGAUCCUGCGCCGAAAAUUUCCGGGGCUAAAACGUACUACCGAAGCUACGGCAUCAUUUAUGAUGGGUAGGGGAGCUUCGUAUGCAGGCUGAAGCAUGACCGUAAGGACAUGUGGACAGUAUACGAGUGAGAAUGUUGGCAUGAGUAGCGAGACGUGGGUGAGAAUCCCACGGGCCGUAAACCCAAGGUUUCCAGGGGAAGGUUCGUCCGCCCUGGGUUAGUCGGGACCUAAGCCGAGGCCGAAAGGCGUAGGUGAUGGACAACAGGUUGAUAUUCCUGUACCGCCAAUAAGCGUUUGAGAGAUGGAGUGACACAGUAGGAUAAGCUAACCGUACUGUUGGUUAUGUACGGCUAAGCAUUGAGGCAGUCUAAAUAGGCAAAUCCGUUUAGACAAUGCUAGGAUGUGAUGGGGAAGCCCUUCGGGGCGAAGUAGCUGAUUUCACACUGUCAAGAAAAGCUUCUAUCGAGUUUAAAGGCGCCCGUACCGUAAACCGACACAGGUGGGUGAGGAGAGUAUCCUAAGGCCAGCGAGAGAACUAUUGUUAAGGAACUCGGCAAAAUGACCCCGUAACUUAGGGAGAAGGGGUGCCUGUCUAUGACAGGCCGCAGAGAAUAGGCCCAAGCGACUGUUUACCAAAAACACAGGUUUCUGCUAAGUCGCAAGACGAUGUAUAGGAGCUGACGCCUGCCCGGUGCUGGAAGGUUAAGGGGAUCUGUUAGAGCAAUCGAAGCAGUGAACUUAAGCCCCAGUAAACGGCGGCCGUAACUAUAACGGUCCUAAGGUAGCGAAAUUCCUUGUCGGGUAAGUUCCGACCCGCACGAAAGGCGUAACGAUUUGGGCACUGUCUCAACAAUAGACUCGGUGAAAUUGUAAUCCCGGUGAAGAUGCCGGGUACCUGCGACAGGACGGAAAGACCCCAUGGAGCUUUACUGUAGCUUGACGUUGGGUCUUGGUACUACAUGUACAGGAUAGGUGGGAGACUAUGAAGCAUGGACGCCAGUCUGUGUGGAGUCAUCCUUGGGAUACCACCCUUGUAGUACUGGGAUCCUAACCAUAGGCCUUGAAUCAGGUCUUGGAACACCGUCAGGUGGGCAGUUUGACUGGGGCGGUCGCCUCCUAAAAAGUAACGGAGGCGCUCAAAGGUUUCCUCAGCACGGUCGGAAAUCGUGCGAAGAGUGUAAAGGCAAAAGGAAGCUUGAUUGCAAGACAUACAGGUCGAGCAAGGACGAAAGUCGGACUUAGUGAUCCGGUGGUACCGCAUGGAAGGGCCAUCGCUCAACGGAUAAAAGCUACCCUGGGGAUAACAGGCUUAUCUCCCCCAAGAGUCCACAUCGACGGGGAGGUUUGGCACCUCGAUGUCGGCUCA